rnacentral:rRNA from 1 species
GACGAACGCUGGCGGCGUGCUUAACACAUGCAAGUCGAACGACGUGGCGAACGGGUGAGUAACGCGUAAUCAACAUGCCCUUCUGAGGGGGACAAAAGUUGGAAACGACUGCUAAUACAGCCUACUGAAGGAGGGGAUUGUGGCUGAUUUGCUAGUCGGAGGGGCAACGGCCCACCAAGGCGAUGAUCAGUAGCCGUUCUGGGUGGAUGAACAGCCACAUUGGGACUGGGACACGGCCCAGACUCCUACGGGAGGCAGCAGUGGGGGAUCUUCCGCAAUGGACGAAAGUCUGACGGAGCAACGCCGCGGGAGUGAUGACGGCCUUCGGGUUGUAAAGCUCUGUUAAUCGGUACGCGGUACCGGAAUAGAAAGCCACGGCUAACUACGUGCCAGCAGCCGCGGUAAUAC